rnacentral:rRNA from 1 species
UGAGGAAUAUUGGUCAAUGGACGCAAGUCUGAACCAGCCAAGUAGCGUGCAGGAUGACGGCCCUAUGGGUUGUAAACUGCUUUUGUAUGGGGAUAAAGUGGGGAACGUGUUCCCUUUUGCAGGUACCAUAUGAAUAAGGACCGGCUAAUUCCGUGCCAGCAGCCGCGGUAAUACGGAAGGUCCAGGCGUUAUCCGGAUUUAUUGGGUUUAAAGGGAGCGUAGGCUGUUUGUUAAGCGUGUUGUGAAAUGUAAGAGCUCAACUUUUAGAUUGCAGCGCGAACUGGCAGACUUGAGUGCGCACAACGUAGGCGGAAUUCAUGGUGUAGCGGUGAAAUGCUUAGAUAUCAUGACGAACUCCGAUUGCGAAGGCAGCUUACGGGAGCGCAACUGACGCUAAAGCUCGAAGGUGCGGGUAUCGAACAGG